GUUCCGUCUAAUCUGAUUUUUUGUGACCGUUGAUUAAAUCAAGUGAUAACUACUAUUUAACUGUUAUCCCUCCAUGUAUUUGGCACGGUCAAAAAUAUGAUCACCAGUUUUGAAAGGAAAUAAAUCUCGUGCCAGUUUCCAACCAAUCAAAAAGAAUUCUCCCAAACUGUAUGGUGCGAGUCCAGAUCAAAAAGAAAAAUGCUCCCAAAACUUCUCUCCGACUACCUCCUCCCAGGUCUCCGACGAGCUCACUCCAUAGAUCUCCGACGCAGCCUCCUCCGACUAACGAUGCCGCUGUGCCUGGCUCCGCCGUCCGAGCGACGCCGCCGUCAUCCGGCCAGCCACCGCUGGCCUCCGAUCCACACGCCCAGCCAAAUCAAACACCUCCGUCUCUUCAAUAGCGGGAUUGGACAUCAAUCCUCCGCGUCCAAGUCCGGUGGAUUGCCGCCGCUGUCCUCAACGGCGGGAUCGGGCCCCCAGCCUCAACAGCGGGGUCGUAGUCAGCGGCCACCGCGAUUCUCGCCUGCGGGAUCGGACGCCACUGCCGCAAGGACCCGAGAAGGAAGGAGUGUGACACUUCGAGUAUAGAUGGCAUACAAGUCCGAGAAGGAAGGAGAGACUAUCUAGCUUGGAUGUCGUAGAAAGGAGCUGAACUGGGGAACUUCUUUGUUCGCCAGUGUUGGUGUACACAAGUCCGAAAUCUGUAUCCUCGUUGUAAUUAUGCAUUAUUCAAACAGUGAGUCGGUGAUAUAGCUGUCAGAUUUUGGAGGCAUCAUGUAAAGCUGGUAAACUUUUGGUGUUGAUGAAUUGAUACUUUGGAAAUUUUCUUUUGUCGAUGGUAAAGCUGCUAUAUUGAAACUUUGUUAUCACUUAACAUCACAA